AACGAACGCUGGCGGCAGGCUUAACACAUGCAAGUCGAGCGCCCCGCAAGGGGAGCGGCAGACGGGUGAGUAACGCGUGGGAACAUACCCUCCGGUACGGAAUAACUCAGGGAAACUUGAGCUAAUACCGUAUACGGCUGAGAGGCGAAAGAUUUAUCGCCGGAGGAUUGGCCCGCGUCCGAUUAGCUAGUUGGUGAGGUAAUGGCCCACCAAGGCGACGAUCGGUAGCUGGUCUGAGAGGAUGAUCAGCCACAUUGGGACUGAGACACG
rnacentral:rRNA from 1 species